GGUCCCAUCGUCUAGUGGCCUAGGACAUCGGCCUCUCACGUCGAAAACACGGGUUCGAAUCCCGUUGGGACCA
rnacentral:tRNA from 1 species